rnacentral:rRNA from 1 species
UACAGAGGGGCAAGCGUUAUUCGGAAUUAUUGGGCGUAAAGGGUGCGUAGGCGGGUCUUUAAGUCAGGGGUGAAAUCCUGGAGCUCAACUCCAGAACUGCCUUUGAUACUGAGGAUCUUGAGUUCGGGAGAGGUGAGUGGAACUGCGAGUGUAGAGGUGAAAUUCGUAGAUAUUCGCAAGAACACCAGUGGCGAAGGCGGCUCACUGGCCCGAUACUGACGCUGAGGCACGAAAGCGUGGGGAGCAAACAGG